rnacentral:rRNA from 1 species
GCGAACGCUGGCGGCGUGCCUAAUACAUGCAAGUAGAACGCUGAAGGAGGAGCUUGCUUCUCUGGAUGAGUUGCGAACGGGUGAGUAACGCGUAGGUAACCUGCCUGGUAGCGGGGGAUAACUAUUGGAAACGAUAGCUAAUACCGCAUAAGAGUAGGUGUUGCAUGACAUUUACUUAAAAGGUGCAAUUGCAUCACUACCAGAUGGACCUGCGUUGUAUUAGCUAGUUGGUGAGGUAACGGCUCACCAAGGCAACGAUACAUAGCCGACCUGAGAGGGUGAUCGGCCACACUGGGACUGAGACACGGCCCAGACUCCUACGGGAGGCAGCAGUAGGGAAUCUUCGGCAAUGGACGGAAGUCUGACCGAGCAACGCCGCGUGAGUGAAGAAGGUUUUCGGAUCGUAAAGCUCUGUUGUAAGAGAAGAACGAGUGUGAGAGUGGAAAGUUCACACUGUGACGGUAUCUUACCAGAAAGGGACGGCUAACUACGUG